rnacentral:rRNA from 1 species
AACGAACGCUGGCGGCAGGCCUAACACAUGCAAGUCGAGCGAGGACUUCGGUUCUAGCGGCGGACGGGUGAGUAACGCGUGGGAAUGUGCCCUUCUCUACGGAAUAGCCCUGGGAAACUGGGAGUAAUACCGUAUACGCCCUAUUGGGGAAAGAUUUAUCGGAGAAGGGUCAGCCCGCGUUGGAUUAGGUAGUUGGUGGGGUAAUGGCCUACCAAGCCGACGAUCCAUAGCUGGUUUGAGAGGAUGAUCAGCCACACUGGGACUGAGACACGGCCCAGACUCCUACGGGAGGCAGCAGUGGGGAAUCUUAGACAAUGGGGGCAACCCUGAUCUAGCCAUGCCGCGUGAGUGAUGAAGGCCUUAGGGUUGUAAAGCUCUUUCAGCUGGGAAGAUAAUGACGGUACCAGCAGAAGAAGCCCCGGCUAACUCCGUG